rnacentral:lncRNA from 10 species
AUGAAAUUCCAGAAUGUAGGAAAGGCAGGAAAGAAAGUACCUGUGUACCUCCGAGAGAGAGGAGUCACUUUCAUCAGACCUAUAGUGAAAGAGUUAGAAUUAUGAGAGAAAGAAUACAGAUGUCAACAGGCCUUCUUACCUUCCUUCUGAUCCUGGGCUGUUUAAAGGAGCAUCCUCAUCAGUACUAUCCUCUACAUUUUCUACAAAUGAGUAAAACAUGUUCAAAUAGGAAAACCAUGACUUUGAAUGGUAAACUGUAGAAGAGUAACAUCCUUCUGAAUGAGAUGGGUACAUAUGAAUACUGAAGAGUCAUGACCAGUCUGGCCAGAGCCCAGAGGAUCUCACCAAACAACUCACUGUUGUACUCUCAACUCUGAGAACACAACUCUAGCCCAAGGCCCUGAGACCGCCGUCCUUAGAAAGGCCUGCUUGGAAAACUGGACUUUGGCUGACAUCUAAAAACAGCUCUCAGAGCGUUCCCAGUCAACUGUUAGCCAAUAAAAGUGGCUCACGGUGCACUAGAAACUUCGUGCAAAUAAUAUGGCUUAUGCUGAACACUUGCUUUCCUUCUGGAAGUCUAGACUGACAGAAGGUACAUAUGUCACCCCCCCCAGUAAAACCCUGGGGCACUGAGCAUCUACUGGACUUUCCUGGACAUAAACAUUGCACAAAUAUUGCUGCGUUUUUUGUUCUGGAGAAAGAAAGCACUCUGUGUGAACUCUUAUCGUAGGGAGAGAGAUACAAAUGCCUGGAUACAGAUUCCUCCAGAGUCCAUCUGUGUCUUUUC